GCCCUUGUAGCUCAGUGGUAGAGCGCUUCACUCGUAGCCUGAGUCAUCAAUUGACCCGAAAUCAUUGGUACUCUCCGAUAAAGCGAUAUGAAGAGGUCCGCGGUUCAAUCCCGCGUGGGGGCA